UCCUCCGUUUGUGCUGGCGCAGGCCGUUG
rnacentral:sRNA from 1 species